GACGAAGGUGGCAAGCGUUAUUCGGAUUUACUGGGCAUAAAGCGCGCGUAGGCGGCUUGGCAAGUCGGGGGUGAAAGCCCGCAGCUCAACUGCGGAACUGCCUUCGAUACUGCCGGGCUUGAGGGCGGGAGGGGUGAUUGGAACUCCAGGUGUAGCGGUGAAAUGCGUAGAUAUCUGGAGGAACACCGGAGGCGAAGGCGAAUCACUGGACCGCUUCUGACGCUGAGGCGCGAAAGCUAGGGGAGCAAACAGG
rnacentral:rRNA from 1 species